UUAAGCGACUAAGCGUACACGGUGGAUGCCCUGGCAGUCAGAGGCGAUGAAGGACGUGCUAAUCUGCGAAAAGCGCCGGCGAGGUGAUAUGAACCUUUGACCCGGCGAUGUCCGAAUGGGGAAACCCAGUGCAAUCCGUUGCACUAUCGUUAACUGAAUACAUAGGUUAACGAGGCGAACCGGGGGAACUGAAACAUCUAAGUACCCCGAGGAAAAGAAAUCAACCGAGAUUCCCCCAGUAGCGGCGAGCGAACGGGGAGCAGCCCGGAGUCUGAAUCAGCUUGUGUGUUAGUGGAACGGUCUGGAAAGUCCGACGGUACAGGGUGAUAGUCCCGUACACGAAAGCACACUUGCUGUGAACUCGAAGAGUAGGGCGGGACACGUGGUAUCCUGUCUGAAUAUGGGGGGACCAUCCUCCAAGGCUAAAUACUCCUGACUGACCGAUAGUGAACCAGUACCGUGAGGGAAAGGCGAAAAGAACCCCGGCGAGGGGAGUGAAAAAGAACCUGAAACCGUGUACGUACAAGCAGUGGGAGCCUCUUUAUGGGGUGACUGCGUACCUUUUGUAUAAUGGGUCAGCGACUUAUAUUCUGUAGCAAGGUUAACCGUAUAGGGGAGCCGAAGGGAAACCGAGUCUUAACUGGGCGUUAAGUUGCAGGGUAUAGACCCGAAACCCGGUGAUCUAGCCAUGGGCAGGUUGAAGGUUGGGUAACACUAACUGGAGGACCGAACCGACUAAUGUUGAAAAAUUAGCGGAUGACCUGUGGCUGGGGGUGAAAGGCCAAUCAAACCGGGAGAUAGCUGGUUCUCCCCGAAAGCUAUUUAGGUAGCGCCUCGUGAACUCAUCUUCGGGGGUAGAGCACUGUUUCGGCUAGGGGGCCAUCCCGGCUUACCAACCCGAUGCAAACUACGAAUACCGAAGAAUGUUAUCACGGGAGACACACGGCGGGUGCUAACGUCCGUCGUGAAGAGGGAAACAACCCAGACCGCCAGCUAAGGUCCCAAAGUCAUGGUUAAGUGGGAAACGAUGUGGGAAGGCACAGACAGCCAGGAUGUUGGCUUAGAAGCAGCCAUCAUUUAAAGAAAGCGUAAUAGCUCACUGGUCGAGUCGGCCUGCGCGGAAGAUGUAACGGGGCUAAACCAUGCACCGAAGCUGCGGCAGCGACACUAUGUGUUGUUGGGUAGGGGAGCGUUCUGUAAGCCGUUGAAGGUGUGCUGUGAGGCAUGCUGGAGGUAUCAGAAGUGCGAAUGCUGACAUAAGUAACGAUAAAGCGGGUGAAAAGCCCGCUCGCCGGAAGACCAAGGGUUCCUGUCCAACGUUAAUCGGGGCAGGGUGAGUCGACCCCUAAGGCGAGGCCGAAAGGCGUAGUCGAUGGGAAACAGGUUAAUAUUCCUGUACUUGGUGUUACUGCGAAGGGGGGACGGAGAAGGCUAUGUCAGCCGGGCGACGGUUGUCCCGGUUUAAGCAUGUAGGCGGAGGUUCCAGGUAAAUCCGGUACCUUAUUAACGCUGAGGUGUGAUGACGAGGCACUACGGUGCUGAAGUGAUAAAUGCCCUGCUUCCAGGAAAAGCCUCUAAGCAUCAGGUAACACGAAAUCGUACCCCAAACCGACACAGGUGGUCAGGUAGAGAAUACCAAGGCGCUUGAGAGAACUCGGGUGAAGGAACUAGGCAAAAUGGUGCCGUAACUUCGGGAGAAGGCACGCUGAUGUGUAGGUGAAGUCCCUGCGGACGGAGCUGAAAUCAGUCGAAGAUACCAGCUGGCUGCAACUGUUUAUUAAAAACACAGCACUGUGCAAACACGAAAGUGGACGUAUACGGUGUGACGCCUGCCCGGUGCCGGAAGGUUAAUUGAUGGGGUUAGCGGCAACGCGAAGCUCUUGAUCGAAGCCCCGGUAAACGGCGGCCGUAACUAUAACGGUCCUAAGGUAGCGAAAUUCCUUGUCGGGUAAGUUCCGACCUGCACGAAUGGCGUAAUGAUGGCCAGGCUGUCUCCACCCGAGACUCAGUGAAAUUGAACUCGCUGUGAAGAUGCAGUGUACCCGCGGCAAGACGGAAAGACCCCGUGAACCUUUACUAUAGCUUGACACUGAACACUGGUCCUUGAUGUGUAGGAUAGGUGGGAGGCUUUGAAGCGUGGACGCCAGUCUGCGUGGAGCCAACCUUGAAAUACCACCCUUUAAUGGCUGGUGUUCUAACGUAGACCCGUAAUCCGGGUUGCGGACAGUGUCUGGUGGGUAGUUUGACUGGGGCGGUCUCCUCCCAAAGAGUAACGGAGGAGCACGAAGGUUGGCUAAUCCUGGUCGGACAUCAGGAGGUUAGUGCAAUGGCAUAAGCCAGCUUGACUGCGAGCGUGACGGCGCGAGCAGGUGCGAAAGCAGGUCAUAGUGAUCCGGUGGUUCUGAAUGGAAGGGCCAUCGCUCAACGGAUAAAAGGUACUCCGGGGAUAACAGGCUGAUACCGCCCAAGAGUUCAUAUCGACGGCGGUGUUUGGCACCUCGAUGUCGGCUCAUCACAUCCUGGGGCUGAAGUAGGUCCCAAGGGUAUGGCUGUUCGCCAUUUAAAGUGGUACGCGAGCUGGGUUUAGAACGUCGUGAGACAGUUCGGUCCCUAUCUGCCGUGGGCGCUGGAGAAUUGAGGGGGGCUGCUCCUAGUACGAGAGGACCGGAGUGGACGCAUCACUGGUGUUCGGGUUGUCAUGCCAAUGGCACUGCCCGGUAGCUAAAUGCGGAAGAGAUAAGUGCUGAAAGCAUCUAAGCACGAAACUUGCCCCGAGAUGAGUUCUCCCUGAGACUUUAAGUCUCCUGAAGGAACGUUGAAGACGACGACGUUGAUAGGUCGGGUGUGUAAGCGCAGCGAUGCGUUGAGCUAACCGAUACUAAUGAACCGUGAGGCUUAACCU
rnacentral:rRNA from 1 species